GAUGAACGCUGGCGGCGUGCCUAAUACAUGCAAGUCGAGCGAACAGAUCCGGAGCUUGCUCCUCUCACGUUAGCGGCGGACGGGUGAGUAACACGUGUAUCACCUACCUAUAAGACUGGGAUAACUUCGGGAAACCGGAGCUAAUACCGGAUAAUAUAUUGAACCGCAUUGUUCAAUAGUGAAAGACGGUUUUGCUGUCACUUCUAGAUGGAUCCGCGCCGCAUUAGCUAGUUGGUAAGGUAACGGCUUACCAAGGCAACGAUGCGUAGCCGACCUGAGAGGGUGAUCGGCCACACUGGAACUGAGACACGGUCCAGACUCCUACGGGAGGCAGCAGUAGGGAAUCUGCCGCAAAGGGCGAAAGCAUGACGGAGCAACGCCGCGUGAGUGAUGAAGGUCUUCGGAUCGUAAAACUCUGUUAUUAGGGAAGAACAAAUGUGUAAGUAAAUAUGCACGUCUUGACGGUACCUAAUCAGAAAGCCACGGCUAACUACGUG
rnacentral:rRNA from 1 species